rnacentral:rRNA from 1 species
GACGAACGCUGGCGGCGUGCUUAACACAUGCAAGUCGAACGGAAAGGCCCUGCUUUUGUGGGGUGCUCGAGUGGCGAACGGGUGAGUAACACGUGAGUAACCUGCCCUUGACUUUGGGAUAACUUCAGGAAACUGGGGCUAAUACCGGAUAGGAGCUCCUGCUGCAUGGUGGGGGUUGGAAAGUUUCGGCGGUUGGGGAUGGACUCGCGGCUUAUCAGCUUGUUGGUGGGGUAGUGGCUUACCAAGGCUUUGACGGGUAGCCGGCCUGAGAGGGUGACCGGCCACAUUGGGACUGAGAUACGGCCCAGACUCCUACGGGAGGCAGCAGUGGGGAGUAUUGCACAAUGGGCGGAAGCCUGAGGCAGCAACGCCGCGUGCGGGAUGACGGCCUUCGGGUUGUAAACCGAUUUCGCCUGUGACGAAGCGUGAGUGACGGUAAUGGGUAAAGAAGCACCGGCUAACUACGUG